rnacentral:lncRNA from 1 species
CCCCACAGGUAAAGAGUAUGAGUGGAGGGAAGUGAAGUUAUAGAAGUCUUUCUUCCUCUUCUGGUGAAGCUAGCUACUGUCGUUUCUAUUGGUUUCUCAAGAGGCUCAAGGUCUUGCUCUACCUAAUCCGAUCUAGUUCCGGUCUGUAAUGAUGGAUAGGAAGGGUUGAGAGAACUACGUAUCUCGCCUAGCAUUUGUGUGUGCGCACCUGCUUUUGGGCGGUUAGCGAAACGAAAGUAAAGACAGCUAUGUGUGAUGAAGUAAGCCCUACGAUGCUCGGUUAAGUAAAGACUGCUGUUAUCUCAUACAAAACAAGGACUCGGGAGAAGAACUAGUUAUCCCCAGAGGGGGAACUAUGAUUCUCUCAGAUGUGUCUAUCGAUAUAGAUCAAGUUGAGUGUUCAGCGAAGUAUGCUAGCCAUUGGCCUUACGUUCAGGAUACUCCUUCCUGUCCUUGCGAUGUUUGGUUAAGUGUUAUCAAUCAGCUUUCCUCUUCUUCCAGCAUUCUUCUAAGGUUUGCCUCUAACGAUGGUUGAAUAGCUCCUGUUGUUUGUCUCCACCUUCCUUCUCCCUGUAAGUUGUCCUCAUACUCCCAGUUCUUUCUCUUCUUUCUUUUCUUCCUCUACGACUUUACUAUAUUAUUCUUGAAUAAGCUAGUGAUUAUCUGAGGCUUACAGUAUGGUAUACCGAGGGCUAACUCCACAACUUCAGAUUGUUGAAUCGAAUAUACCUUCUAUAUACCUAGCUUAGAGUAUUGGAACCUGUUACGUCGAUUGCUGAACCUGACUUGACUUUGACGCGUUGGCUUUGGCUCUGGCUUUUCCUAUAUCUGAAUGUUUCGGAAGAGUCCGUGGCUAUCCUGCGCGAAAGAGGAAGAACUCAACUCUUUGCAAAAAAAGGAGCAUCGCUCUAAUCACUUAUGGUUGUUCCUUUCCAGGAUGGAUGGCUACUGCAUAUUAUCAUAUAGAAAUCAAAUGAAAACCCUACUGAAUUAGGCAAGCGAUUAUUCGCAUCGUUGCUUAGGUGCUCUAACAAGCCGCAAUUGGUUAGAGAUUGGAUCAAGUUCCAGGCUUUUUCAAAACUUCCAGCUUACUUAAUUGACUCGCAUGGGCUUUCUCGCUAUAAACGAACUAAACGAAGCGCCUAAAGAGAGAGAUCCGCGGGACACCAGUCAAUAAAGUAAAAAGAGAGUAUUCUCUUAUGUAGUCUUAUUCCUUCCCACCCCCUUGUGGGUGCUGCUCAAGCAGCUCAGGAGGCGCCAACCCCACAACCACAGGUAGAAGGAGUUCCAGGUGCGGCGUCCAGAUCAGGGACUAGUGGCCCGUCCUGUUCGGAUGUAAAGGAAAGAUGCAAAACUUUUAUCAAACAGUGGGGAAAGGGCCCCAUACGUCAAAGCCAGAUAAAGAAUCUCCAACAAGAUUCGAAAUUGGAUCGUUCAAGUCCAAAGGAUAGAGAAGAU